CGGGUCUGAGGUGCCGCAGAUAUGGUGGAGCGCACGUCGGUGGUGCUGGAUGAGCAUCGCCGCCGUACCUGGGAGAAGCCAGGUGCUGUGCUGGCAUCACGUGGUGGGAAUUGGUGUGGUCCGCGGGGAAAGCUCUGUUCCAAGCACACCUAGACAGUUUUUAAUGAAGUCUGGCUAAUUUGCACCGUGGGAUCUUGACAGAGUUAGCUGAGAAAAUAGCUAAGUUUGGGGUUUAAGAAAUCUUUAAAUGGAAAGUAAUUUAUUACGAAGAAAAUCAUUCGUGUUCUGUCCAUUUUCAAAUGACCAAUCUGGAUGACUUGGUACUGCUCUUGAGUGUUUUAACAUAAACCACAGGAAGAACAGUAGAAUAAGAUACAAAAAUGGUUUGAUAAAGAAAUGGGUAAGAUAUCCUUAAUGUCAAUCACCUUGACUUUCAUAGCCUUAUUCAGUUACACAGGUAAAUUGAUAAAAGUAAUUGCAGGAACAUCAGGGCUUCUGUUUUUAAUCUAGCAGGCUUAGAACUGCAGAAUGGUCUCUGGGUCCUUUGGUUAAUACCACAUGUUCUUCUAAUGGCUAAUGCUGUUGAACGGUCAAUGCGUUAAAUAGAGAAAUAGUUCUGAAAGAUCAGAAGAGUUUUCAGAGGCUGGUCUUCAUGGUUUUGGGGUGUGCAAGCUUCUGCAGGCUCAACAUUUUCAAGAUUUUUACUGGAGAUCCAAAAUAAACUCAUUGUUAAUAAAAUCUAUGGAUGUGCUAAACGGUAACUUAGUAAACUACUGUGAGAGCAACUGCAGUGUCAUCUGGACUGCUUAGUAAAAUUAACACUUUCAAACAGCCAAGUGUGCUGGCCAAAUUUACUGCCAUAUUUUCCAGGAAUACAAGCCAUGCCUCUGGAAUGAGACCUUAUGUCUUAGAAAAAGUUGUCUAAAAAUCUUGUCAAGUAAACUGUUAUGGGUAAGGUGCAAUGUGUCCAGUCUGCCUGUUGGAUGUACUACCAGCAUCAGUGUGCAUUCAUGGGAACUGAUAGUAGAACAAGGUGUGUGGCUCUUGACAUUAAAGACCAAGUGGUGCAGGAAAGACCUGCCAGAACAUUAUAGUAAUGGAGAAAGUCUCUUACAAUGAUAUGUUCUGAAGGCAGUAUCAAUUUGUCAAAAAGAUCUGCAAGAUUUGCUGUGCUAAAGCUUUUUACAAUGGGAGAAAAUAAUAUAAAGGAAGACUUAGUGGUCGGGAGCUGAGAUAAUGUAAUGCAAAUGUAAUGGUUUUAAUCACAAACAAGCUCCUUAGAUCAGUUUGGGACUUGUAGGAAGACUUACUGGCCUGUGGUGAGAGUAUGUGACCAAAUGAUCCCUUUUAAUCUUAAACUCUUGGAAGUAUUUUAGCUGCAUUCCAAGCAAUUUGGCUGCCCUCACCUUUUUUUGCUCUCCAGUGACUUCAAGCCGGUUGCUAGUUCACCCAUACGGGACUGAUUUCAGUAAUGAAUGACAGACUUUUUUGCAGAAUGAAGGAGAGACUCUCUCUAACAGGGCCCACAUGCCACGUAGCCAGGGAGGAGUUCACUGCAGCUCCCCUCAGGGAUCUUCCAGGCUCUUCAGCCUGUAAAAGCUGUCCUGCAGGUCAGCAAAGAGGAGGUGGUGGCCACUGGAUACCCAGCACACGGCCUGGCAGAGCACUCCAGUGCACGCCCUCCUUCCCUACCUGGUAACAGAUCUCCCUGGUCUUUGUCAGCAGCAGCACAAACAAGUCACCUUUUCUGCAACGUCCAGGACUUCCAUGAAUGCUGCAGAUGAAUCUUGUGGCUGUAUUGGACCCACUGCUCCGUGACAGUGUUUGAGCUGUCAGAGCUCUGAGCAAGACCCUUCAAUCAAGACAUGUAAUGUUUUAUUGAGAACCUUAGUACUGAACUCAUGUGUUUGGGGUUUGGUGGGUUUAUUUUUGUGGGUUUAUUUGGUUUUUUCUUCCCCCUCAUUCUAUUAACUUGUAUUAAUGCUUCAUUUAUUUGUUAGAGUAACCCAAAUCAUCUUCAGCAUGUAGGAAUACAGCGUGCAAGGAACAGAAUCUGCAAGGAGUACAGGACAUAGUAACAUCAUUCUUCUCUCCACAAAUGAACUUCGUGCAUCUUGUUUUUUGGAUAAGGCUGGGAACUAAAGGGGAUUGCACACAGUUACUAGGACAUUUCAUUUUUUAAAAAAUAAGCUGUUCCUCAUUAUAGUAAAGUCAGGUCUUUCAUGUGCCAAAUCUGAAACUUCAAAAACAUGUUUGAUCAGUAAUUAUUCCAAAAUGCUAAAAAAAAUUCCAGAAACUAGUACAUAUAAUUUGGAUUAUAGUCUUCAUUAGAAUUUUCUAUGGCAUGUAUUUGUCAGCCAUGAUUAUAAAAUUUGAAAAAGACUAUGGAAAAUUGAUAACUGAGCACAUCUCCCACCAGCAUAAUUGCAUAAAUAUAUCACAACAUAUUUAUUUAUCAUGUCUAUUUAUUUUUUUUGGUUUUGUCACUUUCGAGCAGGAUGACCUAACAAUCCAUCAAGAGUACUAAAGUCUAUAACUUAAUAGUUUGAAAUUGAUUGUGGUACUGAUUUAAUAUUUGAAGAAGGAGGAUAUGACAGUAAACAAUGUGGGCAGACUUCAGCUCAUUUUCAGAGAGAAGCUUUAAUGUAGUUUUGUGCCAAAAUGAGCCACAGAUGUAAAUGCACUCAUGCAUUUUAGAUAAAGGAAAGUAUUAUUCAAACUGAGGGGAAUAAAAUCAAUUAUAGGUUAUAUGUUCCUUAGCAAACAGUUCUAUCAUUUCCAAUUCAGUCUCCAAUAAAAUAAUUCCUAGGAUAACUUCUUGCUGGCUGAAGGCAGAUGGAAAUACUUUAGUCUUUUGACAAAAAAACCCCAACUAGUUCACAGCAGAGUCUCCUACAGUGUUUUGUAAAGGGGUGGAUUUUGCUAAAGCAGUAUUGGUUCCACAGAAAAAUUUCCACCCUCCAAUACUUAGAGAGAAAAUCGGUCCUUUUUGGCUCAAAAGAAAAAAUGCCUUUGACAUGAGAGUCAGCUUGCAUUUACAUAAGUAAAUCAGACAGUUUUGUGUGAAGUAUUCAAAACCAGAAUAAUGUGACAAAUUACAGCUUUGCUGAUUCUCCUGGAGUUUCAAAAUUACAUAAUUAAAUGUUUAUCUUGUUCCAUGUGGCCUGUUAGCAAACAGAUUUCCAUUGGAUGUCCAACCUUGUGUUUCCCCAGAAAUAAAUAGUUUUUUAGCAUUAGGAGACAUUUAUUAACAAAUGUAAAUAAGUUACUGCAAAAGACCCCCUUUCUGUAGAUUUUAACUUUAAUUUGUACAUGGGAAAAACAAUUCAUGGAACAGUCACAUGCACAAAACCUUCUUGUAUGCAGUCAGGUACUGUUUAUUUUGAUAUUAGUAAUUCUGAAAAACGAGCAUUUCGUUAAUUUACAUGAGAUGUGAAUUCUGAUAAAAGAUGCUGACCUUUGGUGGCCAUACUGGCUUUACAAAAGUGACAGAAGUAAUUGCAGAUUUACAUCCACCUUAAAAUAAAGUGGAAUCUUUCUCAAAGUAAUGCAGGGAGUUCCUUCAUGUUGCUUAAUCCUGUUUCACUGCAGCAGCUACUACAACUUGCGUGCUGUUUGUUGCUGUUAGUGAAGUAUACUUGAUUUCAAUUGCUCCUCAGAGCCCCAUUCCCUGAUACAAAAUGAUUUUGUGCAAAGUGGAGAUAUUUUCUGAUUAUCAACAACAAA